GUCCUGCGGACUUUAAGGAAAGUUGAGUUGAGCGACCAAAAUAAGCGAGACAAUGGUGUGAUGAGGAGGGGGCGGGGUAAUGCAAAACGCUACAAAAAAACGUUUACUCCAAACGGAAAAUGCAAACGACAGUUUCUACAGGACAAAUGCAGAGGCUGAAUGUGUCUCACAGGAGGAAGCAUCCGAGCGAACGAAACAGCGCCCCCGUGUAGGCGAUCUAUCUGAUGCUGUCUGGUCCAAACGAAACAGAUGUUUGAUCAACAUGAAAGAGAGGAGGAUGGCAUUGGCGUUUCUCUACAAGUAGGGUGAGUCUACAUGUUUUUCUACUUGCACAACAUACACACACAAAUCAAAACCAUGGACAGCCACAUCAUAUUUAGCUUACCUGGAUUGGAGUAAAUAGUUUUUGGUAUCUUUCAGUUGUCACUAUAUUAGAAUAAGAAGAGGUGAUUUGAUGAUGUUGAAAUGGUGGAGGCAGCUCCUGUUUUCUUUGCGACUUUGUUAAUUAUUUUUAUUUUUUUCAUUUUAUAUUAUAUUUAACUAGGCAAGUCAGUUAAGAACAAAUUCUUAUUGACGGCCUACCCUGCCUAACCCAGACCACGCUGGGCCUAUUGUGCGCUGCCCUAUGGGACUUUGUUGUGAUACAGCCUGGAAUCAAACCAGGGUCUGUAGUGACGCCUCUAGCACUGAGAUCCAG